CAGAGCGGGGCGUGGGUUUGUAAUGUGGUCAUGCUCAACUGCAUUUCCCCUGACCACAGUGCAAAAGCCAUGCACCGCUGUU
rnacentral:pre_miRNA from 1 species